rnacentral:rRNA from 1 species
CCUACAGGAGGCAGCAGUGGGGAAUAUUGGACAAUGGGGGGAACCCUGAUCCAGCCAUGCCGCGUGUGUGAAGAAGGCCCUCGGGUUGUAAAGCACUUUCAGUGAGGAAGAACGCCUGGUGGUUAAUACCCAUCAGGAAAGACAUCACUCACAGAAGAAGCACCGGCUAACUCCGUGCCAGCAGCCGCGGUAAUACGGAGGGUGCGAGCGUUAAUCGGAAUUACUGGGCGUAAAGCGCGCGUAGGUGGCUUGAUAAGCCGGUUGUGAAAGCCCCGGGCUCAACCUGGGAACGACAUCCGGAACUGUCAAGCUAGAGUGCAGGAGAGGAAGGUAGAAUUCCCGGUGUAGCGGUGAAAUGCGUAGAGAUCGGGAGGAAUACCAGUGGCGAAGGCGGCCUUCUGGACUGACACUGACACUGAGGUGCGAAAGCGUGGGUAGCAAACAGGAUUAGAUACCCCAGUAGUC